rnacentral:rRNA from 1 species
GACGAACGCUGGCGGCGUGCUUAACACAUGCAAGUCGAACGGUGAAGCGCUUUCCUUUUUGGUUGGUGUGGAUGAGUGGCGAACGGGUGAGUAACACGUGAGUAACCUGCCCCCUUCUUCUGGAUAACCGCAUGAAAGUGUGGCUAAUACGGGAUAUUCUGCGCCUGCUGCAUGGUGGGUGUGGGAAAGAUUGUGCCUUUGGGUGUUUUCGGUGGGGGAUGGGCUCGCGGCCUAUCAGCUUGUUGGUGGGGUGAUGGCCUACCAAGGCGGUGACGGGUAGCCGGCCUGAGAGGGUGGACGGUCACACUGGGACUGAGACACGGCCCAGACUCCUACGGGAGGCAGCAGUGGGGAAUAUUGCACAAUGGGCGCAAGCCUAAUGCAGCGACGCCGCGUGAGGGAUGGAGGCCUUCGGGUUGUGAACCUCUUUCGCCAGUGAAGCAGGCCUGCUCCUUGUGGGUGGGUUGACGGUAGCUGGAGAAGAAGCGCCGGCUAACUACGUG